AAUUCAUGGUGUGGGCAUUGCAAUAAAAGUAAUUUGAAGCGAUCUCAUGCCUCAUGAAAAGAUUCAGCAUUCUUGUGAUAAAGAUUAGAAAUUUCAGCUUUCAAUUC
rfam:Ricinus communis cultivar Hale ctg_1100012354222, whole genome shotgun sequence.